UCAUUUUUGCCUUCUAUUAAAAACUUUUUACUUUCUAACGAACCUUAAUCUUUUCUCAGCCUGCCUCCUCCUCCUCCUCCUCCUUCAACUUCCUUUACCUCCUUGUGUGAAUCUGUCCGUCCCGAGAUCCGGCGAGACCAUCCCGACGUCGUAACACCCGUUUGGGAGUGGGGGGACUCAUGAAGCUGGGGGCGGCAGCCCUAAGGUGGGGAGGGUUGCGCCGACACCUCCACUCCGUUUCGGCGGAAUGUGGCUGGCUAGGGUGGCCUGAACCACUGUCUGGGUUGUUUGUCGUUCAGUCGGAUUGAGGAUCUGCCUCCCUUGAGGUGCACAUGUCAUAGUGGUGGCAGAAGCGAGAGUGAGUGAAGCUGAUGUCAUCCCGACGUCGUAACACCGUUGGGCGGGGCGGGGCUCUCAUGUCAAGUCUCCCCGCGGUGCACAUGUCACAGAGGUGCAAACAGCAUGGCCUUCUUUCCUAUCUUUUCCCCCUCCUCCUCCCCCCCCCUCCCCCACACACCUCCUGCUGUUAUAUCGUCACCCUCAUAAAGUAAUUGCCUAAGUCAUUUUUCAGUGAUUUCCAUUUUUGUUAAGUUGUCUUAGAUAUUCAGGGUUUGAGUGUUCUAGAAUUGCCUUUUUAUUUCUGCCUAAAUCUUAAGCCAAAUGAGAUGAUGACGUUCUCUUCUUGAAAAAUAGAAAAUAACGACUUGGGCGGUUUCUUUACGAAGGUGGCGAGAUUGUAAUAGGUUUUGCACCCUCUAUUUAGGGAUGUGCACUAAUUUUUGUCUCUUCUCUUCCCCUCCUCCUCCCCUGGCUGGCCGGGGAACGGAGGAGGAGCACUAGGACGAGGAGGUGAAGGGAGGCGGAGGGAGAGACGACUCGAGCACAGGGAGGCAAGAGACAAGAAGCAGAGACGCAGGAACAGAAAGGCAGCCAGAUGGUCGAUGCUGUGAAGAGGAGGAAGAUGACUGCAGGAGGCGGUGUGUGUGUGUGUUGGGGAAGGAGACGACGGCACCACCCUCACACACAGCUGGUUAAGGCCUGCAAGAGAGCCUAGUCAAUGAAGAGGAAAAGAAGACAAGAAUAAAGAAUAAAGAAGACAAGAAGAAAGAAGAGAGGCAAAAGAGGAGGAGGGGAUUUUUUUUCUGUCUAUACCUGAAGUGUCAUGAAUUUACUAAGGGUGUAUUUAAGUCUGAUAUAACGCGGUGCAUUUAAAUAAGGUAUAUUUAACGGUACCAGUGUGUAGCCUACUUUUGCCUGGAGUUGGAGACGGUAAAAUGCUCUCCGACUCCUUUAUUGUGGUGCUGUGUGGUUUGUUUACUGUGGUGCGAUGUGGGUCAUUUACUGUGGUGCGGUGUGGCUCGUUAACUGAGGUGAGGUAUGGUUCGUUUAUUGUAGUGCGGUAUGGUUCGUUUACUGUGGUGCGGUGUGGCUCGUUAAUUAAGGUGAGGUGUGGUUCAUUUAUUGUGGUGCGGUGUGGUUCGUUAAUUAAGGUGAGGUAUGGUUCGUUUAUUGUAGUGCGGUAUGGUUCGUUUACUGUGGUGCGGUGUGGCUCGUUAAUUAAGGUGAGGUGUGGUUCAUUUAUUGUGGUGCGAUGUGGUGUUGCGGGCUUUAAUUUCCCUACCACUGCACCAGACAAGGGUAAGGGGGAGGGGGUGGAGUCAAAUUUUUUUAUAUCCGACUCCACACCUGUGUUAGAGUGUAAGAGUAUUGAUGGAAUAUAUUUAGGUGCUGGGUGAUACUGUGGCGCUCUCGUCGCAGCAACCCAUUCUGCUUCUGCAUAAUAACCCAUACUGCUGCAUGACGCAUAGCAACUCGUGUUUUUUUCUGCUGCCGCAACGACCCGUUCUGCUGGAUGACGCAUAGCAACUCGUGUUUUUUCCGCUGCCGCAACGACCUGUUCUGCUGCAUGACGCAUAGCAACCUGUGUUUUUUCUGCUGCCGCAACGACCCGUACUGCUAACGCAUAAUGACCUGUGCUGCUUCUGCUAUUGUAACAACUCUUACUGCAAUAACUUACUGCUGCUUCCAUUUAAAAACGUAUAAACGCAUAAACCCGCUGUGUUGCCAACUUGUCAACAACCCAACUAAUGAAUUUUCUGAUCAAAGAUCAAAGAGAGGAUUAGGCCUUCAGGGGACACCUCUUAAAUAAAAACGCGCCUGGGACUUUUACCUCAGAGGUGGUGUGGAAAAAAAGUCCAGUCACGAAAAUAAGUAUCUUAUACUCCAUGAAAGUGUCUCAGUCUUAUGAGAACACAAAGGUUGAGAGGGCUCAAACAUUCUGUUGUUUCCCGCAUAUGCUCCCAUGUUAGCAGUAAGGGUACUAAAUUCUGAUCUCUGUACAAAACAACCAAAUAAUAAGGAAAAGAAAGUUGAAUAAAAUGUUUACCUGCAUUCUACGUCAGCAGCGUAGACGUAACAAGGGUUGAAAAAAUGAGUUACUUAUUACAGCCGCUGGCCAACGUUUUGACCCCAGAGUCUUUGUGUUUGUCUCGGCGUCCUCUGCGCUACACUGCACAGAAUCUGGUUACUGUCCCUCAUGUGUUGUGUCAUUGAGGGAGUGUUUGGGUCAUUUUUAUGUUUUGAUGCCCCUUUCAUGGAUCUAAAUAAUGACAUCCACCUUAAAAUAAAUGUAUGUGUCUGUGGUCAUCCCAAAGCUGAAGGUUGGUAUCUACUCCACUGGUUUUCAUAUGUUUUCUCAGACAGUUCAAAUUAUCAGCAAAUGUUUUUACCCGUCUGCUGUGAUUGGCACGGAUUUCGCCUUCACUGGUAGCCUGGUAACAUGUACUCCCAGAUCAUUCUCGGCCUCUGUGGUGGAUAGUGGAGUGCUUCCCAUGUGGUAUUG